rnacentral:rRNA from 1 species
GACGAACGCUGGCGGCGUGCUUAACACAUGCAAGUCGAACGGAAAGGCCCUGCUUUUGUGGGGUGCUCGAGUGGCGAACGGGUGAGUAACACGUGAGUAACCUGCCCUUGACUUUGGGAUAACUUCAGGAAACUGGGGCUAAUACCGGAUAGGAGCUCCUGCUGCAUGGUGGGGGUUGGAAAGUUUCGGCGGUUGGGGAUGGACUCGCGGCUUAUCAGCUUGUUGGUGGGGUAGUGGCUUACCAAGGCUUUGACGGGUAGCCGGCCUGAAAGGGUGACCGGCCACAUUGGGUCUGAGAUACGGCCCAGACUCCUACGGGAGGCAGCAGUGGGGAAUAUUGCACAAUGGGCAGAAGCCUGAUGCAGCAACGCCGCGUGCGGGAUGACGGCCGUCGGGUUGUAAACCGCUUGCGCCUGUGACGAAGCGUGAGUGACGAUAAUGGGUAAAGAAGCACCGGCUAACUACGUG